AUGGGGAAGGGCUACCACAAGAAGCUGGGAGUGAACAAGGCGGCCAUCGCCGGCACCGGCUCCGGGAAGAGCAAGGCCAUGCGCGGCGGGAACGGUAAACGCGCUGGCGGGGCCGGACCGGGGGGAGGCGCGAAGGCAGUAGCUGGCGCGGGCGGUGGGGGAUGGGGAGGCGCGCCGACGUUCUCUGCCACCGACCAUAGCACCAUCCAGACGGUAAGCUGGCAAACCUACCGAUCAUUAGCCAUUACGCCUUCUUCCAAGGCGGCCACCGCCGGGGAAGGGAAGGCCAAGGUCGCCGGCGGCGGCAAUGCUAAGCGCUCGGGAGGCGUGGUCACUGCCGGCCCGAGAGGAGGCGCGGUGGGCGCGGGCAGGGCCGGCCCAGGAGGUGCCAAGGGAGCAGCAGGUCGAGCGGGCGGUGGCGGCUGGGGCGGCGCGCAGCCAUUCUCUGCCACUGGCCAUAGCACCUUCGAGACGGACGUGCAUGCCACGAAUGAAUACUACGACUGUUCGUCUGAGCACGGUGUGUCAUUCUCUCCCACUGACCAUGGCACCUUUGACACGGCGGCGGAGAAAAUGAAUGAGUACUACGAUGAGGAGGAGAACCUUGGUUUGUCCAUGGACAAGGGCGGAGAUGAGGAUGAUGGAGGCCAGCACGAUGCUGAAUUUCUGUGUGAUGAAGACGGCAAGGGCGAUGAGAUCGGCAAUGAUUGCAACGGAGGGGGUGGUGAUGACGACAUAGGCGGUGCUGGGAUUGGUGAUGACCUCUUCGACGGUGAUGACUACUACGACGAUGACGUCGCGGGGGGUUUUGACGGUGGCUACGAUGAUGAUGGUGGGGAUGGAGCUGACGACUGGUGGUAG
rnacentral:rRNA from 1 species